rnacentral:rRNA from 1 species
UAUUGUGGUGAAUCAUAGUAACUGAUCCGAUCCCCAACUGGGGAUAAAUCAUUCAAGUUUCUGCCCUAUCAGCUUUCGAUGGUAGUGUAUUGGACUACCAUGGCAGUAACGGGUAACGGAGAAUUAGGGUUCGGUUCCGGAGAGGGAGCCUGAGAAACGGCUACCACAUCUAAGGAAGGCAGCAGGCGCGUAAAUUACCCAAUGCAGAUUCUGCGAGGUAGUGACAAUACAUAACAACCUGGGGUCUCACGACUUACGGGAUUGCAAUGAGAACAAUUUAAAAACCUUAACGAGGAACAAGUGGAGGGCAAGUCUGGUGCCAGCAGCCGCGGUAAUUCCAGCUCCACUAGCGUAUAUUAAAGUUGUUGCAGUUAAAAAGCUCGUAGUUGAACUUCUGAUUGUUGUCAGUGUCGGUAUUUAUAUCGCGCUGGUGGCAGUCAUCCGUCUGCAAACUUUUACAUCCUUAACUGGUUUGUCUAAGGGAGCAGGCAUUUUACUUUGAAAAAAUUAGAGUGUUUAAGGCAGGCGCAAGCCUGAAUACAUUAGCAUGGAAUAAUGGAAUAGGACGCUUGUCCAUUUGAUUGGUUAUUGGACUCGCGUAAUGAUUAAUAGGGACAGUUGGGGGCAUUAGUAUUUAAUU